CUUCCCCGUGGCGUGAGGGUGCGAGUGCCAAGCGAGGUGCCAAGGGAUAGGAGGACCUCACUGGGCAUCCUUGUGACACAGUAGUGACGUGUCCGUGCCCUAGAAACGCUCUAAACUGAUACGUCGGGGCCAUGGCUCACGUGAGACUAAAACUGUGUGUGGUAAUACUGGCAUUUGCUGGUCAUUACUGCUGGUGUAUGUGAUGUCCUCCUUGAAAUGGCAACCGGGAGAUAUUAAUGCUGCUCAGCACAUGGCACAAGCAGGUGAAAAGGCAAACAUUCCCAUGGCAAGAGCUGCAAAAAGUAAAAUAUUGAUCAAGGAGAUAUUAGAUGCAAUAAAGUUAAGCAAUAACAGCAAGA